rnacentral:tRNA from 1 species
AAAGUUUUAGUAUAAAUUUUAGUAUAAAUCAUUGUCAAUGAUUAGGCAAAAACUUUA